rnacentral:snoRNA from 12 species
UUUCCCAUUUGACUACCACAUUUUCUUCUCUUACUGGAAUUUCGUGGCUAUGCUUGUGGGAUAGAGUAAUGCCGCCGUGAUCUGAAGGAGGAGGGUUUCCUGUGUCCUCCUCCUAUAUGAAAUGGCCGGACAGAGCGGU